UUUAACCAGAAAUAAAAAAGUUACUCUUUGGUGGCUCAUCAGCUAAUUAGAGUGUUAAAUGAGCAGUCACUGCCCUUAUCUUCCUCUUAUUGUGCAUUACACCGCCAUCAGUUCCUUCACUCCAGCCCCUACUUGAAGUGGGCCUUUCACACUAACACCUUCUUCGUGUUGGGAUUAAAAAAUACAAACUGCCGUAUUUCCAGCUCUAGAAGUUGAAAAC